AGAGUUUGAUCAUGGCUCAGGACGAACGCUGGCGGCGUGCUUAACACAUGCAAGUCGAGCGGAAAGGCCCUUCGGGGUACUCGAGCGGCGAACGGGUGAGUAACACGUGAGCAACCUGCCCCUAGCUCCGGGAUAGCUCCGGGAAACCGGGAUUAAUACCGGAUAUGACCACACUAGACAUCUUAUGUGGUGGAAAGGAU
rnacentral:rRNA from 1 species